AGAGCUAUAAGCAUGAAUUUGCGAAGAGCCCCGAGCCUCUCGCUGGUGACUUCCUUGUGUGGAAUGCACCGAAGCCAGACUCUCCGUAGGGGACGCCGAUUCAGUCGGUGGCAAGCUGAUAGGUACCCUUGUAAGGUGCUAUGGUUGGAAGCACCAUGAAAGUUACAGGUUGGUAUCAGAGCUAUAAGCAUGAAUAUGGGAG
rnacentral:lncRNA from 1 species